GGGAAGUAAAAGUCGGUAACAAGGUUUCCGUAGGUAUGCUCGCUGAUAGUGCUCGCUGGGGUGCGGGCUGCCUCCGGGCGCCCAACCUCCCACCCGUGAAUACCUAACACUGUUGCUUCGGCGGGGAACCCCCUCGGGGGAUGCUCGUGAUAGUGCUCGUAGAUGCUCGUGAUGAUGUGAUGCAGUCUGAGUCUGAAUAUAAAAUCAGUCAAAACUUUCAACAAUGGAUCUCUUGGUAUGCUCGUAGUAGUCGCUCGUGAAUGUCUGCGAUAAGUAAUGUGAAUUGCAGAAUUCAGUGAAUCAUCGAGUCUUUGAACGCACAUUGCGCCCCCUGGCAUUCCGGGGGGCAUGCCUGUCCGAGCGUCAUUGCUGCCCAUCAAGCCCGGCUUGUGUGUUGGGUCGUCGUCCCCCCCGGGGGACGGGCCCGAAAGGCAGCGGCGGCACCGUGUCCGGUCCUCGAGCGUAUGGGGCUUUGUCACCCGAUGCUCUAGGGCCGGCCGGGCGCCAGCCGACGUCAUGCUGCUCGUAGAUGCUCGCUGUAGAUGCCUCAGGUAGGGAUACCCGCUGAACUUAAGCAUAUCAAUAAGCGGAGGA
rnacentral:rRNA from 1 species